CCCUCACUGAAACACAACCAUGAAAGCAAGAGGUCUGAGAGGAAGCCUUCUGCUCUCAAUAUCUCCUAGCUGCAGGCAGGUCUCCAGCAGCCUGAGCUCCUGCCACCAUGCUGCCUCCUGGAUCCCUGACAGACUUUUGUCCCUUUGUCUAAAGGAACUAAACCGUGCUUCACUAUAAAAAUGACCCGAAGAAUAUUCAACAAGAAAACUUCAUGGAAUACCACGGACUUCACUUAUCCUCAGGGUCCAACAGCUUUCCUGCUAGGCUUGCAUCUGGGUUAUUUAUAUGUCACAUAUCAAACAGCUGCUGCCGAUUCUGGUCACGACUGACAUUCUCGCAGAGGCAGCCAUCUGAAGCGUCCCUUCUCUCACUGAUUCGAGCAGGAAUAAGAAAAUGUUGAGCUAAUAUGCCUUCUAGGAGUUAAGUCCUCCUGCGUUUUCCUGAAACUUGGCCUCAAACUAUUCUUGUUGAGAAUUUCCUGCACAAAUUAGAGAAUGUCCUUUCAGCCCUACCCCUGAUAGCUAGCUUCCUUGUUAACACCAAGAAAUGCAAAAAGGAAAAAGGCCUAGGAAGGAAGGAAGUGAUUCUUAAACGAUGUAUUGUUUGCCACUCUUGAGACUUUAUGUUUUCUCCCCUUUUCUGUUGUGUUCACAUAUUGUGCAGUUAUUUAUACCCCUUUCCCAGCAAAUCCAGAUGGCUCUGUUGCAUAUACGCUUUGUAGAGCUACGGGGAAACAGGUGAAGCAAAGUGGGGACCUUCUGUGUAUGUAAGUUUGAGGAGCAUGAAUGCAAGCAAAUGCCAAUGAUUGGCAAAUUUUCCUAAUGUAGAGCUUGUCAAUGUGGGGAAGAAAGUAAGGUUGCUGUGGAAGUCAUUAGUUUCUCGUACCUAUACAAUGGACUUUGGAAAAAAAAAAAACUGCUUAGACUGCAUCAAACCCCUAUCUUGAGGUUUCUGGCACCCUCAUCAGGCUGUUUUCCACCCUUUGAUUUGUGAUUUGGCUUGGAGGUUUAUUUUGCUUUUCAGUUUCCUCUAAAGCUUUGGAUUUGGUUCUCAUUAGGGGAAAAAAAAAAAAGGAAAGAAAAGAGAUCAAUGUGGGCCCGGCAUUUGGCUUGUUACACGACAUUCUCGGCACAAUACUGAUCACCCCAGUUAGGUUGGCAGGGGAACUGUGACAUGGGUGGUUGAUUUAGAUGAUACUGGACUUGCUGGUAUGCCUGUGCAUAGCCCAGUUUGUAGGAUUGUACAAUUGUGGAACUCUGCUAACACUGCUGCAGGAAACAAACAUAUCUGGGUGGCUUGCUUUCUUCCUUGGGUGCGUUUAGAUUACAUCUUUAGGACUUCACUGGACGUUUUAGGGUAGUGGUCUCAAAAAAUUUAUGUGAUAUCCAAGGCAACUCCUGCCAGUCCCUUGUUCCAAGGCCAAUCUGCAGCAGUAUCUCAGUUUUGAGGAAACCAGAGUAAUGCUGCCUUGGAUAGUCAGCUUUCCACGUAUAAUUUUAUCAAGGCUUCAGGAAGGCAGAACUUCUCACAAACCAGAAAUCCAAGGCUUUGAUCUGGCAUCUGGCAACCUGUAUUGUAACAAGGGAGAUGCUGGAUCAGAUUACACAGAGCACCAUUUUACAGAAGACCAUGUCAAGACAGAAGGUGGGCACAUUUUGACUCUGUCUCUCCUAAAGCUUUACGUGGAAGACUGAUCAGAUGCAAAAAAAUCAGGGAUUCAGUUUCUGAAGGCAGUGACAAAAAUGCUUUAAGAAAGAUGAAGUUGACAUUGCCAGUGUAAAAUUCCUGCUCUUACUCAAGCAAAGGCUCCUCCACACCACAGUGUUUUUUUCUGCCUGGAGUGAUAAUCAUUUAACUCAGACCACCCACCGUCACAGUAAGAGCUAAGGAUUUACAAAUUUAGAAGAGCAAUUACAUAGAAAGGGUGAUAGAAACUGAAAACUCCUGAAAUGUCGAGUCAUUUUUCAGGAGCCAGGAAAUGACAUAUAAAAAAAGACAAAGCAAAAAUAACACAACUGCAAUAGCAGCUGUAAGAAUCUGUUUCUGCUUUCCUGAAAUACUUGGAGGAGUCCUGCAAGAUACUGACUUUAAUUCAACAACUACUUUGUUCUGUUCAUGAUAGUGAAGCUAGUCUACAUAGAAAAUGCCUAAUUACCUAUUUCCAAAUUACCUAUUACCCAAAUUUCCCCUAUGCUAAUGACUGACAAGUUUAUUCCAAUGAAAGUUUUGGCCUAAAUUCUCAUUAGGUCCUAAACCCCAGAUCCUAUUAGAAACAAGUGGCCAAGCAGAUCCUUGAGCCUCCUUUCUAAAAUACAAAACCCACUACAGUCACAGAAGCACCUUUCCUGUACCACGAAUGCACUCAAAAAUUAAUGCAGGCUUACACACAGAAUACAAUGUCAAAAAUUAAAAAUUAUCUUAAAAAUAAGCACAGCUUUUAGGCAUUGUACAUCACAGUUCCUCAUUUAUAUGCAUGGGAAGCAGAUGUCUCAACAAAACACACUAAUACAACUGCUUGAGCAGAAGUAGGAAUAGUUACUGUCAUGGGCAAAAUUAUUCCUAAAACACAUGGAAGUACCGGAAUUAGUUGACCUCAACUCCCUAGAAAUGUUGGUGAUGAAGAUAAUACAUACUAAAUCCUCCAUGACUUACAUGCUCUGAUCAGAUGAUAGAGAUGCCAUGUGGUUAUCGACCCAAGACUGGUUCACAAACUGCAUCAGGAUUUUUACCUAAAGGCUUCACUGGAAGCUGUGGGAACCAUGCCAUUAACUUCACUGUGCCAAAGUGAUACCCAAGUAUUGCUCUCUGCUUUCCAGAGAAAACUUAAAAAAAAUACAACCUAUAUCCCAGAAGGUCCUACCUGCACCAAGUUUGCCCUUAUAACCCCAGGAAGCAUACUGGAUUGCAGUCGUCAAAUUAAUUGGGAUAGUAUCUCAGUCUGAUCUGCCCCUUGAUCCCAUAUUUUUGCAACUCUACUGCAGUCUGUUUGUUACAGCAGAAAACAAAACUUUGUGUUUUGGUGAGGCUAUGUACUGAAUCACAAAGCCAUAGCGAUUUCAUUUUUUUUAUUGUAUUGCACAAGAUAUCUAUGCAAUCCAUGUACUGUAUUAAAGGAUCCACAUUUCCCAAAACAGCGGCUGUUGCAGCACACAUCACAAGCGUUGUGAAUAACCAGUGCCUUCUUGAAGAGU